rnacentral:rRNA from 1 species
AUACAUGCAAGUCGAACGGACGAAUAAGAGCUUGCUCUUAUAAGUUAGUGGCGCACGGGUGAGUAAUAUAUAGCUAAUCUGCCUCUUAGUAGAGGAUAACAGUCGGAAACGAUUGCUAAUACUCUAUACUUCUGCUUUACAUAAGUAAAGUAGAGAAAGUUUUUCGCUAAGAGAUGAGGCUAUACUGUAUCAGCUAGUUGGUAAGGUAACGGCUUACCAAGGCUAUGACGCAUAACUGGUCUGAGAGGAUGAUCAGUCACAUUGGAACUGAGACACGGUCCAAACUCCUACGGGGGGCAGCAGUAGGGAAUAUUGCGCAAUGGGGGAAACCCUGACGCAGCAACGCCGCGUGGAGGAUGACACUUUUCGGAGCGUAAACUCCUUUUAUCGGGAAAGAAUAAUGACGGUACCCGAUGAAUAAGCACCGGCUAACUCCGUGCCAGCAGCCGCGGUAAUACGGAGGGUGCAAGCGUUACUCGGAAUCACUGGGCGUAAAGGGUGCGUAGGUGGAUUAUCAAGUCUCUUGUGAAAUCUAAUAGCUUAACUAUUAAAUUGCUUGAGAAACUGAUAGUCUAGAGUAGGGGAGAGGCAGAUGGAACUCUUGGUGUAGGAGUAAAAUCCGUAGAUAUCAAGAAGAAUACCUAUUGCGAAA